CACGUAGGGCGCAAGCGUUGUCCGGAAUUAUUGGGCGUAAAGAGCUCGUAGGCGGUCUGUCGCGUCGGCUGUGAAAACCCGGGGCUCAACCCCGGGCCUGCAGUCGAUACGGGCAGACUAGAGUGCGGUAGGGGAGACUGGAAUUCCUGGUGUAGCGGUGAAAUGCGUAGAUAUCCGGAGGAAUACCAAAGGCGAAGGCAGUGUCCUGGCUGGCAUCUGACGCUGAGGCGCGAAAGCUAGGGGAGCGAACAGG
rnacentral:rRNA from 1 species